rnacentral:misc_RNA from 1 species
GGGAAGUUUAUGGAGAGGUGAUUUUAGUAUGAAUUCCACGCGAGUUCCAAGCUUUUAAAGGUUUAUACAUUUAUAUCAAGAACAUUGCUCAAUGGUUGCAUCUUGCAUGAUGUGAUAGUGAUAAGUGUGCAGGUGCAAGCUCAUUUCAACUGGCAUUUUUAGAUCAGAAGAGCACAAACACAAUGCCACUGCUGCCAGCUACUUUCUCCAGAACGUAGUACGACCUGUGAGCAAAUAAUUCACCACCCAGUUUAAAUAAUUGGUAAUGUUAACAGUUUUAUGGUUGAAUAUUUAUCUCAUGAUCUAAAACUACUGAAACUCAACUUGCCUUAUGGUUGGCUCCUAAGAUUUUUUGACUUCCUAAAAUGACUAUAGAGAAAUAGGAGAAAUGAAGUUUUGGAUUUUUAUCCAAGUACUAAUCUUUGCUAUUGGUUUUCAGGCCGGUCAAAAAUUUCUUACAAGGCUGGAUCUCCAUGGUGGAGAUGCAGAAUUGCUUAGAAUUGGGACGAGUUACCGACUGGAAUAUUUUUUUUUUACAGCUAUUACUUUGGGUCAAUCAAGAUAUGACUCAUGUUCAAAAGGUUCUUAAUUACCAUCGUUGCAGAGUUAACUCAUCUCCAAGGUGAUUCUUUUUC